rnacentral:misc_RNA from 1 species
UCACAAAGCCAGCACUCAAGUCAAGGA